UGGCUCAGAUUGAACGCUGGCGGCAGGCCUAACACAUGCAAGUCGAGCGGCAGCACGGGUACUUGUACCUGGUGGCGAGCGGCGGACGGGUGAGUAAUGCCUAGGAAUCUGCCUGGUAGUGGGGGAUAACGUUCGGAAACGAACGCUAAUACCGCAUACGUCCUACGGGAGAAAGCAGGGGACCUUCGGGCCUUGCGCUAUCAGAUGAGCCUAAGUCGGAUUAGCUAGUUGGUGAGGUAAUGGCUCACCAAGGCGACGAUCCGUAACUGGUCUGAGAGGAUGAUCAGUCACACUGGAACUGAGACACGGUCCAGACUCCUACGGGAGGCAGCAGUGGGGAAUAUUGGACAAUGGGCGAAAGCCUGAUCCAGCCAUGCCGCGUGUGUGAAGAAGGUCUUCGGAUUGUAAAGCACUUUAAGUUGGGAGGAAGGGCAGUUACCUAAUACGUAAUUGUUUUGACGUUACCGACAGAAUAAGCACCGGCUAACUCUGUGCCAGCAGCCGCGGUAAUACAGAGGGUGCAAGCGUUAAUCGGAAUUACUGGGCGUAAAGCGCGCGUAGGUGGUUCGUUAAGUUGGAUGUGAAAUCCCCGGGCUCAACCUGGGAACUGCAUUCAAAACUGUCGAGCUAGAGUAUGGUAGAGGGUGGUGGAAUUUCCUGUGUAGCGGUGAAAUGCGUAGAUAUAGGAAGGAACACCAGUGGCGAAGGCGACCACCUGGACUGAUACUGACACUGAGGU
rnacentral:rRNA from 1 species